rnacentral:rRNA from 1 species
ACGUAGGUAGCGAGCGUUGUCCGGAAUUACUGGGUGUAAAGGGAGCGUAGGCGGGAAGGCAAGUUGAAUGUUUAAACUAUGGGCUUAACCCAUAGUCGCGUUCAAAACUGUUUUUCUUGAGUGAAGUAGAGGCAGGCGGAAUUCCUAGUGUAGCGGUGAAAUGCGUAGAUAUUAGGAGGAACACCAGUGGCGAAGGCGGCCUGCUGGGCUUUAACUGACGCUGAGGCUCGAAAGCGUGGGUAGCAAACAG